rnacentral:rRNA from 1 species
GACGUAGGGCGCGAGCGUUGUCCGGAAUUACUGGGCGUAAAGAGCUCGUAGGUGGUUUGUCGCGUUGUCCGUGAAAACUCACAGCUUAACUGUGGGCGUGCGGGCGAUACGGGCAGACUGGAGUACUGCAGGGGAGACUGGAAUUCCUGGUGUAGCGGUGGAAUGCGCAGAUAUCAGGAGGAACACCGGUGGCGAAGGCGGGUCUCUGGGCCGAUACUGACGCUGAGGAGCGAAAGCGUGGGGAGCAAACAGG